AUGAUAAAGAAGAAAAGUUCAUGGACCAAAAGUCGAUACAGAGAAGAAAAGGAAAAGAAAAGAAAAAAGGAAGAAAGAGAAAGAGGAGAGGAGCGUCCGGCAUGUCAGGGAAGAAGAGGAAGAGUGUCACGCUGCCAUCCGUGGCUGGCCGAGCGUGGUAGCGACGAUUAGAGGUGCAGCGGAGGCCAGUGAGUGCAGCGGCGGCAGCGGCGCCAGGCAGCAGAAGAACGCGAAAGAAGACGGCGGUUGUCGACGCCAUUCCAAGCGUUUCCGACGGCCAUCGACGGCGAGUUUGGUCUCUUUUUGACCGGUGAGUUGAGAGCUUCCAUUUGGGAGUUGCGGCGUCGGCUUUGGUGGCCGAAGGAAGGAGUUUCGGCAAAGUGAAGGCAGCUGAAUUUUUAGGCUUUUCCAGCGAGUUCCGGCGAGGGAUAGAUGAUCGGAGGGCAUUUCCAAACUCUACUCAGCUCAAGCUUUCCAAUGGCACCGGUUUUGCGAUGAUCGGACUCCGUUUGGAAAUCGAGGUCCGAGAUCGUUCGUAAAUCUCUCCGGAUGAUCGGGGAUCAGAUUGGAAGAUCAGAAGUUGGGAUCAUCAUCAGCGCGUUAUCUCGAGUCCGUAGGCAUGUUCGGAUCACCGAUCGGACUCUGGUGGCUGGAGGCGAGUCGACCGAGUGAUCAAGCGUCUCGGUGAUUGAUAGUCUUCCCACAGUUCUUAUCUAGCAGCCCGACUCCUUCGUCAUUGGGUUGAUGUAAUUGAUUUUAGUAUGUUUGACUUGUAAAAUUUUAGAUUUUCUGCAGUAAAAAUUUUAGAGUUUUUAGUUUGUAAUUUUAUAUAAAUUCAAGUCUCGCUUAAUUAUGCUGACAGACAGAAUUUAAUUUAUAGUACCGGUUGAUUUAAGAUUAAUUGAGAAAAAAGUGCUUUGGAUUGA